GAGAAGGUCUGCCCGCGCCAAGAUGCUGCGCAGUGCCAGAACACCCUGUGCUCGUGCCGCGGGGAUGCAGCGUGGUGCCAGAACGCCCUGUGCCCACGCUGUGGAGGUGCUGUGCAGCACUAGAGCGCCCAGUGUCCACGCUGUGGGGCUGAUGUGCUGGGUCAGACCACACCGCCAUCUUGGCUGAGCAUCCUGUGACCAUGACGCAGGUCCAUGAGGCUCCCGGGAUCGCCCCCUCACCACCGGAGCUGCCCACACCCAUCGUCACCAUGGAAACACCUGGACCGCCCCUGCUUGGAGCUGGUUGGCUCAGCCUACAAACUGCUCCCAUAGUCCCAGCUCUGCUGGCCAUGCCUGCCUGCCGCUGCAACGCGGGGAUGGGGCCCGAGAUGAUGUCACUCGAAAUGCCUGGAUAGUGUCACUACAUCACACCCGGAAAUGCACUGAAACCAGGAAGUCCCAGCACUAUGAUGCUGAGUCCCACUCCCAGCCCCGCACCUGUCACUGCCAUAGCACCAUCACACCUAUAGCCAAGGUUUUAACAACCCGAAGAAGCCCUUACGACCCUGCCGACAACAGCUCCAGCCUCUUUGAUGUUCCGAGCAGAAACCAUCCCCACUCGCGACCUGGUAAUCUUCUGGAUGGAGAGAGACUGCAGUUAGCGGGUUUGAGCUGCCUUAGGGUGAAUUCCGCAGCUGCCUGUCUGCAGCCAGGGCAUUGCACCGACCUCCCCGCUCCGGUCCAAGUCGACGGUGACUCGGUCCAAGUCGACGGUGACUCGUCACUCGUCAGCAGCGCCCGGCCAAGGAGAAAAAACUGUGGAAGUGGAGACUUUAGCAAAAGCUGUGACGAAAGAGAGAAAGGCGAGAGCUCUGCUUCAAAGGUGGUUGUUUUGGGUUUGCAACUGUAGCCACUCGUAAAGACUACAUUUAGCAAUUAGAAACUGUUUUGACCUGAACUUUGCAAACUGCCAGCAGCAAGAAAAGUGAGCGAGGUCCUGCGGUCGAGCCAGGAUCUAAAUUACCAGGAUCUCAAUAACACCAGAAAUGUGAUCAGAUAUAAAAUAGCAAUGCUUACCAAAAUCAGCUAUCUUGGCAUUCAUGUGUGCAUCAAGCAGCACAUUUUCAGGCUUCAGAUCUCUAUGUACUACCAUAUGCCUGUGACAGUAAUCCACGCCAGAAAGGAUUUGCUGGAACAGACGUCUACUUUCCUUUUCAUCAAGCUAAGACAAACAAAGGUUUUAAAGAAUUUUGAGACAGUGGAAGGAUAACUUGAUUUUCCUCUAUAUGAAUUGAAGGAAACUUUCCAAUGACCACAAGCUAUCAUUUAUAGUUCUGAUAUUUUAUACAGCAGAUGUUAUAUACUUAGUAAUUAGAAAUAUUAGCACCCAAACAUUAACUUUGUCUAAUUAAAAUAUCAAUGAACGUAGAUAUUUAAGCAUGGUAUAAGAUUAAAGUUGACAAAAGCUGAUGACAGUAUAUAAGUGAUAAACUUUGGAUGCUCCUUAUGCUCUUAUUAGCAGCUAGCCCUAAACAGCAGACUUAACUGGAUAUUUCCUAUAAACACAUCCUAAUCCAUGUCAAAGUUUGCUCAGUCUAACAACUAACUAAACAUAUCCAGGCUAUCUAGAUGGUUUGUCAAAAGUGACUUUAGGACUUUCACAGAAACCAGUCUAAUAGUAGAAGAGGGUAAUCAGGGCACAACAGUAGCUUUUCAAUAAUAGUUUAUAAUGAAGAAAGUUUACAGCUACUCCAACUGGGUAACAUAUCCAUCCAGUUUCUACACAGUAAUUGUAAAUUAACAUAUCAGUAUCAUUUAUUCUUCAGUAGAGUGGAAAAGUGCUACAAAGUCACAUACAAAGAUCUGAAACAUGUUAAUAUAUAACCAUUUUUAUUUUCAAAACAAGAUAUAGUCAUAAGGUAUAUUUUAAUUGCUAACCGCAAAAUUAAUGCUGAAUACAUAAGAAACAAACCUUCAUUUAACAGGAAGGUUGCAAAAGCAAUAACAGAAUGCAAGUCAUUGAUUUGUAGAGUUACACUACUUCUUACCCUUCCAUUUUUACAGAUAUAAUCAAACAGUUCUCCUCCUGAAACAUAUUCCAUCACCAUGAAAAUGUCAGUUGGUGUACUGAUGACCUGGUACCUGAUAAGAAUAAGUAUCUGUUAGUCUAUGCACUCAGUAAAAGCAGCUAGUUACACUUAGUUAAAACCAAAGUUGUGCAAAAAGUCAGAUAAAAGUAUACUUGAAAAAAAUUAACAGCCCAUUUAAAGCUACUGGAAUGAUAAUAUUUUUCAGAAGCUAUUUCCUCUCCUUUCACUAUGUGAUACCAUCAUCGCCAAGAUUACCAGGGAAUUUGUAUUUCCCACAAGGAUCAGUCUUUGUGCUUUCAGAGGACUACUCUGAGUCCAAAUGUUUUCUGUGAAGCCAUAUACAGUGCUGUCUCACAGACAUUUUAGUGUAAUGAAGAAGGGAUUCAAAAGGACUUUGCUAGUGUCUUAAAAAGCACACACCCUUCAACUUUAAACAGGCAAAACCCCUUGCCUUGUCAUAAAUAAAGUAUACUUCAAGACUUGAAAAAAUAUUCAUGAUGAUUGAAAGCAAUUAUCUUUUAAAAAGAGACCUAAAUUUCUCAUUAGUACUUAAGAGUAUUAACACCUUGGGUUUAUUUUUAUCACUAUACUUUAAAGUCAGCUUUGAGGUUUUGAAAAAACUAGUUUAUGGUCAAAUUCUCCACUUAGGAGAUUGAUAUGUUUUCUACAUACCCUUACCUAAAGGUUGUUUAGUUUUUUUUUCUUCUUCCAGCAGUCAGAAGUGACCAAUUUUUAACAUAGCAAGAAAAUGCACACCGAUAAACCUUCAGUCAAAAAAUUCAAAUACUAUGUUAAGAAGACAGGAGAUAGCAAUUGGAUGCCAAUGAAUGCUUCAAGGUACUACACUUAAGCAUACAAAUAUCCCAAUUGUAAAACAAUAAUUGAAUUCACCCAUACACUACAGAACUGAAAUGUUCUUCCAAGUGCUGAUUCUGAGACAAGGGGGAAAAACAUACAUGCUCCAGCUAACAAAGUUUUUCUUGACAGCAGUGAGUUCAGACUAUCCAGGUGAAUGUAUAUGUGCAUGUAUAUAUGUGUGCAUGUAUCUAUUUUAACAGCUUAGCAUUGUAAUGUAACAUUACAAUAAUCUGAAUACUAUUCUGAAGGAGUCAUCUUCAAAGUUAACUUACCUAACAUCUUAUAGUCCAAGAUGUUUUACCUUUACUAAUUUUCUCUCAAAUACCUUGGUUGAAAGUGUCAUGUACUUGAACAUUCUGAAGUUAUCACUAAGACACUCUACAGAAAUAACAUUGUAAUCCUUUUAAUCCAGAAGCUACAGUGCAACCUCAUUUCUAACACCUCUACUGUUAAUGACCUUUUCCGUAGUUGUGAAAUUACUAAGCUCUAUGCUUCAGGCAAACAUGAGCAAGCUUAUAUUUUAGAUCUUCAUGGUCAUUUUCCAUCCUCUAGAUAGUGAGAUAGUGAACAGUGCUGGAAGAUAAGCCUCUUAGCAUCACUGAAAAGAAUGAGCCAUUCUGCACCUCACAUUUUCAGCCUCUUGGAAGAUUCAGUCAUGUUUCUCUAUAGUCAGUUCAUUUUUGUAGUUAUGGAAAAAGAUGUAGUGAAAUAGUUACAUACCUAUAAGUAAGGUUAUCAAACCACACAGCAUAGAUGACCAGAAUGCACAAAGAGGCAAUUUACAUAGGAAAACAAGAUGCAUUCUAUUGCUAGAGGUCAAAAACCACAACAGGAGAUGCUCCAAAGGUUUUUAUUUAAAGCAUGGUAUAAAAAGAAAAUCUUUGUGAGGCAGCUUUGCAACUGCAUAUAUUGGUAAAGCAUUGUAUGAAAAAAUUUAAUAAAGCAUGCUGUUUCAAAUUA